rnacentral:tRNA from 1 species
GCCUGGGUGGCUCAGUAGUUAAGCAUCUGACUUCGGCUCAGGUCAUGAUCUUACUGUUCCUGGGUUCAAACCCCACAUCAGGUU